rnacentral:rRNA from 1 species
UGAGGAAUAUUGGUCAAUGGGCGAAAGCCUGAACCAGCCAUGCCGCGUGAAGGAAUAAGGCCCUAUGGGUCGUAAACUUCUUUUGUAUCGGAGCAAUAAGGGCCACGAGUGGUCCGAUGAGAUUACGAUACGAAUAAGCAUCGGCUAACUCCGUGCCAGCAGCCGCGGUAAUACGGAGGAUGCAAGCGUUAUCCGGAUUUAUUGGGUUUAAAGGGUGCGUAGGCUGUUCUGCAAGUCAGCGGUGAAAGCCCGGGGCUCAACCCCGGAAAUGCCGUUGAUACUGCGGGGCUGGAAUACGGAUGCCGUGGGAGGAAUGAGUAGUGUAGCGGUGAAAUGCAUAGAUAUGACGAAGAACUCCGAUUGCGAAGGCAGCCUGCUGUAGCGUAACUGACGCUGAAGCUCGAAAGCGUGGGUAUCGAACAGGAUUAGAUACCCU